GAUAAACGCUAGCGGUGUGUCUAAUACAUGCAAGUCGAGCGGCAGCACUUCGGGUGGCGAGCGGCGAACGGCUGAGUAACACGUUGGAAUCUACCCCAUACUCAGGGAUAACUCAUCGAAAGGUGAGCUAAUACCGGAUAGUCCCCUGACUUGUUCAGGGGUAAAGAUUUAUCGGUAUGGGAGGAGCCUGCGGCCUAUCAGCUUGUUGGUAAGGUAAAAGCUUACCAAGGCGAUGACGGGUAGCUGGUGUGAGAGCAUGACCAGCCAGAAUGGGACUGAGACACGGCCCAU
rnacentral:rRNA from 1 species